rnacentral:lncRNA from 10 species
UGCUAUUUUAGAAUAGCCUAUAAAAAGAGUUUUCUGCCAAAUUCAAAAACACUGUGCCCAUGAUCUAGGUUAGACCAUGUAUCUGCGUAUAUUGUUUUUAUUUUGCCAUUUUCAAUAACACAAGCCCCAAGACAUAAUAUCUUUUGUACUCCUUCAGAAGUGCAUUGGCAUAUUCUGCCUUUCUAAUGUGUCUUAAACACUACCAGAAACUAGACGAGGUUGAUUUAUUUGAGUCUCUGACUGUGCAAGCUCCAAAGAGUCUUUGAUGGAAACAAUUUGACUUUGGACUUACGGGGAAACUGACAGGCUCAGUUCCAUCCACUGGAUUUGUCUCAUUUUAAGGCCUGAAAGCAAAGCUGCCAAGCAACCUUCAAAGAGAGAGCUACAGCUCCAGAGAGGAGGGGUCAGGGUCCUUCUGCUGCAGUACAAAAGGCAUGUGUGCAGGCCAGCUGCCAGGAGAGACCCACAGGCCAUGGAGACUGACACCAACUACUGAAACUGAUCUUGCUCUGUCUCUUCUUGUGUGAAUAAAGCAUUGUUCCAUCCAGUGAUUGACUGAAUUGAAUUUUCUUUGGUGGCUCCAAUACCAAGAGGCAGUGGGCAGAAAUGCUCAGACUUCUACUCCUGAUAAUAGGCAACAGACAUCACCUGUUCAACAGAUUAAUUUUUGUGUUAAUAUGGUGAGAUACACUGGAUGAUUUCAAGUGU